GCUUGAUGUGUUAGCAUGGAAUAAUGAAAUAUGACUUUAGUCCUAUUUUCGUUGGUUUAGGUACUUCAGUAAUGAUGAAUAGAAACGGUUAGGGGCAUUUGUAUUUGGUCGCUAGAGGUGAAAUUCUUGGAUUGA
rnacentral:rRNA from 1 species